GCUCAGGACGAACGCUGGCGGCGUGCUUAACACAUGCAAGUCGAGCGGUAAGGCACUUCGGUGUACACGAGCGGCGAACGGGUGAGUAACACGUGAGUAAUCUGCCCUUCACUCUGGGAUAAGCACUCGAAAGGGUGUCUAAUACCGGAUACGACGGACCACCGCAUGGUGUGUUUGUGGAAACUUUUAUGGGUGGGGGAUGUGCUCGCGGCCUAUCAGCUUGUUGGUGAGGUAAUGGCUCACCAAGGCUUCGACGGGUAGCCGGCCUGAGAGGGCGAUCGGCCACACUGGGACUGAGACACGGCCCAGACUCCUACGGGAGGCAGCAGUGGGGAAUAUUGGACAAUGGGCGGAAGCCUGAUCCAGCAACGCCGCGUGAGGGAUGACUGCCUUCGGGUUGUAAACCUCUUUCAUCAUUGACGAAGCUUCAACGUUGUUGGGGU
rnacentral:rRNA from 1 species